rnacentral:rRNA from 1 species
AGAGUUUGAUCCUGGCUCAGAUUGAACGCUGGCGGUAGGCUUAACACAUGCAAGUCGAGCGGUAACAGACAUUUUGAUUUUGCUUGCAAAAUCUCGUGCUGACGAGCGGCGAACGGGUGAGUAACGCGUAGGAAUCUACCUAGUAGAAGGGGAUAGCCCGAGGAAACUCGGAUUAAUACCGUAUACGUCCUUAGGGAGAAAGAGGGCUUAGCUUUGAUGCUCUCGCUAUUAGAUGAGCCUGCGUAAGAUUAGCUUGUUGGUGAGGUAAAGGCUCACCAAGGCAACGAUCUUUAGCUGGUCUGAGAGGACGAUCAGCCACAUUGGGACUGAGACACGGCCCAGACUCCUACGGGAGGCAGCAGUGGGGAAUAUUGGACAAUGGGCGCAAGCCUGAUCCAGCCAUACCGCGUGUGUGAAGAAGGCCUUCGGGUUGUAAAGCACUUUAAGUAAGGAAGAAAAGAGUAUUGUUAAUACCAAUACUCCGUGACAUUACUUACAGAAUAAGGACCGGCUAAUUCCGUGCCAGCAGCCGCGGUAAUACGGAAGGUCCAAGCGUUAAUCGGAAUUACUGGGCGUAAAGCGCGCGUAGGUGGUUUAUUAAGUUGGGUGUGAAAGCCCCGGGCUCAACCUGGGAACUGCAUCCAAAACUGAUUCACUAGAGUACGAAAGAGGAAAGUAGAAUUCACAGUGUAGCGGUGGAAUGCGUAGAUAUUGUGAAGAA